rnacentral:rRNA from 1 species
UGGGGAAUAUUGGACAAUGGGCGAAAGCCUGAUCCAGCCAUGCCGCGUGUGUGAAGAAGGUCUUCGGAUUGUAAAGCACUUUAAGUUGGGAGGAAGGGCAGUAAGCGAAUACCUUGCUGUUUUGACGUUACCGACAGAAUAAGCACCGGCUAACUCUGUGCCAGCAGCCGCGGUAAUACAGAGGGUGCAAGCGUUAAUCGGAAUUACUGGGCGUAAAGCGCGCGUAGGUGGUUCGUUAAGUUGAAUGUGAAAGCCCCGGGCUCAACCCGGGAACUGCAUCCGAAACUGGCGAGCUAGGGUAGGGCAGAGGGUGGUGGAAUUUCCUGUGUAGCGGUGAAAUGCGUAGAUAUAGGAAGGAACACCAGUGGCGAAGGCGACCACCUGGGCUCAUACUGACACUGAGGUGCGAAAGCGUGGGGAGCAAACAGG